CAGUCGCCACGGUAAUACAGAGGGUGCGAGCGUUAAUCGGAUUUACUGGGCGUAAAGCGUGCGUAGGCGGCUUUUUAAGUCGGAUGUGAAAUCCCUGAGCUUAACUUAGGAAUUGCAUUCGAUACUGGGAAGCUAGAGUAUGGGAGAGGAUGGUAGAAUUCCAGGUGUAGCGGUGAAAUGCGUAGAGAUCUGGAGGAAUACCGAUGGCGAAGGCAGCCAUCUGGCCUAAUACUGACGCUGAGGCACGAAAGCGUGGGGAGCAAACAGGAUUAGAUACCCGCGUAGUCCCUGUCUCUUAUAA
rnacentral:rRNA from 1 species